GGUCCGUUAGCUCAGGCGGUAAGAGCAUCAAUCUAUUGAAUCAUCGAAGGGCGGGGGUUCGAAUCCCUCACGGACCA
rfam:Cerapachys biroi unplaced genomic scaffold scaffold13, whole genome shotgun sequence.